GUCAAGGAUACCGGAAGAGGCUACAGCAGGCUGUUUUGAAUAACGUUACAAUUUACUAAAAUUUGCUGACAAUAAUGACGUAUCCUAGUCCUCUACAGUUUGGAGAAGAUGCAUUAUUUCUGCGAUAGAGCACAAUGAGAAUGAGAGCUCCCGUUUGGCCGUGGAGAAUACAAAGAAGACUCAUUGUCAUACAGCUCAAGAAAAUAAGGGAAAGGCGGGCAGUGGAGGACAGCCAAGAGAUGGCGAGGGGAUCAGCGAGACUGAGAGGACGGCAUCUGUGGGCACGUUCAGCAUCGCGGCAGACCCUGAGCAGUGAUGCUGUCUCUCUGGCCAGUGAAGUCACCAUUUCAGACAUGGUGGCUGUGGGCACGUUCAGCAUCGCAGCAGACCCUGAGCAGUGAUGCUGUCUCUCUGGCCAGUGAAGUCACCAUUUCAGACAAGGUGGCUUUUCCCUUACUCUGUAUCCAUAUUUCCCAUAAGCAAAAUAACUGCCUAUAUCUUUUUACUUAAAUUUAAAAGUGUGAUUGCCAUGUUAUUCCAUAUUCAGCUGUUUUUGCUACUGUAUAUAUACUGUUUAUGCAGUUGUAUAUUUUAUAUCAAAAAUGUAAAAAAUGCAGAAAUGCAGCACUUUGUGCAUGUUUUUUAACCUUGUAUAAAGAUGAAAUAAAAUUUUAAAUAGAUAUAUUGAUGAAAUUCAC